UCCUUCUCCACCUGGAGGGCUUUAUAACGUUCCUGCCCCUUCUUCAAAUCCACAGUUCACCCAAGCAGGCAGAAUGCUGCUGCUGCCCAUCCUGCUUGCAGCUUCCAGUUGGUCCCGUGGAGACGCACAGCCAGUGCCAGUGCAAGACCCGCCGAUGCGGAGGCAGGUGAAGGGCAGCUCGGCCAGAAUGGACUGCCGGCUGGGCAGUGAUGCCAUCAUGCACUGGUACAAGCAGCUUCCCGGAGAGCCACUCAAGAGGAUACUGUACGUGUCAGGACAGACUCCUACAUUUGAUGACAGCACCGAUAGACGAAAGUAUCAAGUGAGGAAACAUGCCACUGAAUCUCUCUAUACUCUCACAAUAGAUUUCUUAACCCAGAGGGACACUGGCACAUACUACUGUGCGUAUUGGUAUUUAUAUCAAGGCAUCACAGUGUUAGACAGGCCAAGAUAAACCAUACAAAAAGGCACUUGGCACUCUGAACCACAAGCUCUGAACUCUGCCCAAAUGCAGAUACUUCCUCAUUCAGCCCUGCUCUCAUGAUUUUCUGCCACAGGAUAGGAAAAACAACAACAUAGUGUGACAACUGCUAAAUAGAGGACGUUAAUAUUUGGAUUAUUGUUUUCAGACUCACAUAUCUCUGUAA